AGCGGCAGGCUUAAUACAUGCAAGUCAGGGGCAUCAAGGUACACGAAAGUGUAUUGUUGGCGACCGGCGGACGGGUGAGUAAUAGGUAGGUAACCUACCUCAUACUGAGGCAUAGCUGGGAGAAAUUCCAGGUAAUUCCUCAUGAGGUUAUAUGACACAUGUGAUAUAAUCAAAGGUAUCGCAAGGUACUGGUAUGAGAUGGGCUUACUGACCAUUAGCUAGUUGGUGAGAUAAGAGCUCACCAAGGCGAAGAUGGUUAGGGGUUUUGAGAGAGAGAUCCCCCACAUUGGAACUGAAGCACGGUCCAGACGCCUACGGGUGGCAGCAGUGAGGAAUAUUGGACAAUGGGCGAAAGCCUGAUCCAGCCAUUCCGCGUGCAGGAUGAAGGCCCUCGGGUUGUAAACUGCUUUUGUACAGAACGAAAAAGCUCUGGCUAAUACCUGGAGUCCAUGACGGUACUGUAAGAAUAAGCACCGGCUAACUACGUG
rnacentral:rRNA from 1 species